rnacentral:lncRNA from 1 species
AUGCGCACAACUCACUGGCUUCCUUCUCAAACUGGAAAUCCAAGUCCACAAAGCUGGAGUGGGAAACCACAUUCAUCUGGCCGGCCGCAGAGGCCCAUUGAGAAGGAGCAGAUCUGGGCUGCAGAAGAUGGCAGGAGGCAGGAGAUGCAACUGAAGAGAAGAGGGUCUGACAGCAAGUUGCUGACCCAGCUUCUAGCACAGCUGCCCUCUUCCACAGAAUGGGAAGAAGGAACCUUUUGUGCCUCUCUGUACCAUCAUCCUCAACACUCGGUAGAAAACAAGCAAGACCCUUCUAUCUUGGAGAAGUCUGGCCACUUGUUCCGUAGAGGCAGCUGUGGAAGGGAGCCAUUCCAUGUGCCAGGAUGAUUGGAGGGAUGAAAUCCCACCUGGGAAACGAGAGCAACAUGGGGAGUAGGCUACAGCCCUGUCUCAGCCACAUGGCCUUGGGCAUGUCCUUUAGCCUUCUGGCACCUCUCUUUCUCUAUCAAACAAGGGGGCUCUAAAGACUUUCCCUCUUCAGUGACCUUGCCUUUAC